AGCGAACGUUUGCGGCGGGCCUAACACAUGCAAGUCGAACGCACUAGCAAUAGUGAGUGGCGCACGGGUGCGUAACACGUGGGUAAUCAACCCUUCAGCCUGGGAUAACGACUCGAAAGGGUCGCUAAUACCGGAUACGGCGCGAGAGGCUUCGGCUUCUCACGAGAAAGCCACGCAAGGGGCACUGAAGGACGAGCCUGCGGCCCAUCAGCUAGUUGGUGAGGUAAGAGCUCACCAAGGCUAAGACGGGUAGCUGGUCUGAGAGGAUGAUCAGCCACACUGGAACUGAGACACGGUCCAGACUCCUACGGGAGGCAGCAGUGGGGAAUAUUGCGCAAUGGGCGAAAGCCUGACGCAGCCACGCCGCGUGAGCGAUGAAGGCCUUGGUCGUAAGACUCUGUGGGAGAGACGAAGAAAGACCUGUGAGAGCAGGCCUUGACGGUAGUCUCCUUA
rnacentral:rRNA from 1 species